AACCCAUGUUGAGGACAUUUCCACAGAAGAUCCUUGAACCCAUCCCAUGUCUCAAAAAGAGACUCCAAUUCCACUUAACAAAAGAGAAUAUUUCAUUGCUGAGUUU